CCCUGCUCCUGCCAACCUAGCAGUUCGAAAGCAUGUCAAAGUGCAAGUAGAUAAAUAGGUACCACUCCGGUGGGAAGGUAAACGGCGUUUCUGUGUGCUCCUCUGCUCUGCCAGAAGUGGCUUAGUCAUGCUGGCCACAUGACCCGGAAGCUGUACGCCGGCUCCCUCGGCCAAUAAAGUGAGAUGAGCGCCGCAACCCCAGAGUCGGUCACGACUGGACCUAAUGGUCAGGGGUCCCUUUACCUAUCUGGACAUAGCAAACAAAUGUACCAGAGAGGAGAGGCUGGCAUUCUUCUCCCCUGGCAUGCCAGUUUUUGACGUGCUUACAUAUUUUUGUCAAAUAUGAUGGAGCCUCCAAUAACAUGGCCAGCCCCAACUACAAUCUGAAGUAAAAUACAGUGGUACUUCGGGUUAAGAACUUAAUUAGUUCUGGAGGUCCGUUCUUAACCUGAAACUGUUCUUAACCUGAGGUACCACUUUAGCUAAUGGGGCCUCCUGCUGCUGCCGCGGUGUGAUUUCUGUUUUCAUCCUGAAGCAAAGUUCUUAACCCGAGGUGCUAUUUCUGGGUUAGUGGAGUCUGUAACCUGAAGUGUCUGUAACCCGAGGUACAGUGGUACCUCAGGUUAAGUACUUAAUUCAUUCCGGAGGUCCGUACUUAACCUGAAACUGUUCUUAACCUGAAGCACCACUUUAGCUAGUGGGGCCUCCCGCUGCCGUCGCGCCGCCGGAGCAUGAUUUCUGUUCUCAUCCUGAAGCAAAGUUCUUAACCUGAAGCACUAUUUCUGGGUCAGUGGAGUCUGUAACCUGAAGCGUAUGUAACCCAAGGUACCACUGUAUUACUGUAGUAUAAGGUUACCAGAUUUUUUUCAAUGAAUCUGGGGACUCUUUUCAACUUCAAUGGAUUUUAUAUGGGCACUGAUUUGUAAAUCCGGGGACUGUCACUGGGAAACGGGGACAUCUGGUAACCUUACUGUAGUACAGAAAGUGGUGCAUAAUAAUUAUUUGGCAACUCAUGCGGCUUAGUCCUCAGCGUCCACAAGUUGAGGCAGAAGGGCUGAAAAUUCAUGAGCCACCAGGUUAUGGUUGGGAAGUUUCUCGCUUGAGGUGGUAUGUGCUUGGGAGCAGGAAGAGCUUGAGGAGUAGAGAUCCCAGGGAUUCAACCUGUUCUGUUCACCAACGGUUUACAGUUGCAAAUAAUAAGAAGAGAAAAUGCAGAUUUUAUUUACAAAAACAGAAAAGUUCCAUUCCCCAAGUAUCAAGAUCUUGGCAUCCUCUCAUUGUGAUAAAAAGGCUUUGCAAGAGUGAAAGGUUAGCAGCGGAUGUGUGAACCCCAAGAGACCUUCAUACGAAGCUUCGCUUUCUGUCCUUGGAAGGAGCUGUGAGAAUGUCAGUCAGACAUUAAAUAUAAAACUCUGCAGCAUCACUGAGGCCCUUUCUGCCUUUGGAUCAUUACUAGAGUUUAAUUAGGGCUAUGUGCAUACGUUGUACUAUUUUCCCACAGAAAGCUGAAAUGCAGCAAGCUCCUUCAGUUUGUAAACAUUAAUCAUAUCAUUAAGAUACCCUUGUUUUUGCACAAUUCACAGUGCAAUUCUAUACAUCAGAAGGAUGUAUAGAUGAGUUCAAUGAGGCUUAUUCCCAGGUAAGUGGCAACAGGAUUGCAGUCUUUGCUGUUCUGCCUUUGCUAAUCUUGGGAAGAGACAAGGAAGAAGUGAUGCAGCAAUGAAUCAUUCAUUCCCACUUGCUAGAAAUUCUCUUCAGCUGUCUCGCCAGUUUCUGAGAUUUCUUUUGCUGGAAUGAUUUUUAUUUUAUUUUUUAAAAAUACAUUUAACACUACCAGGGCUAAAUGCAAUCUUUAUACAGUGGUGCCUCGCAAGACGAAAUUAAUCCGUUCCGCGAGUCUCUUCGUCUUGCGGUUUUUUCGUCUUGCGAAGCACGGCUAUUAGCGGCUUAGCGGCUAUUAACGGCUUAGCGGCUUUAAGAAAAAGGAAACAAACUCGCAAGAACUCGCAAGACGUUUCGUCUUGCGAAGCAAGCCCAUAGGGAAAGUCGUCUUGCGGAACAACUCAAAAAACGCAAAACCCUUUCGUCUAGCGAGUUUUUCGUCUUGCGAGGCAUUUGUCUUGCGGGGCACCACUGUAUAACUUCACAUCGCACAUACACCUCCAAGCACAUUUCCCAUACCAAGAGGAGUAGAAGCUUCUGGAAGACAGUCCUGUUUAGGGAAGUUUUUAAUGUCUGAUGUUUUAUUGUGCUUUUAAUAUUCUGUUGGAGCUGCCCAGAGUGGCUGGGUAUAAAUAUAUUAUUAUUAUUAUUAUUAUUAUUAUUAUUAUGUAGUAAAUCUGCUCAUUGUUUAAGAUUAGUUGCUGCACACCUCUUGCGCAUGCCGUUAUUUUCUGGGGGAAGGUUGGUGGCAACACACAAGAGAGUCUUUUCUGAGAAAACUCCCUGCAUAUAGAACUUCCUGCUGCAAGAAGUUAGGUUUCCUUCCUAUUUUUGGAACGGGGCGAGUCUGCAUAAAAGAAUGGGGGGUGGGGUUGCUUUAAAAGUUAUAUGUUAAUUUGGAAUGUUGUAUUUGCGGGCUGGGGGAUUCUUAGGGGCUUUUGUUGGGGGAGUGUGUUUCUUAUUAGUUUGUAUACACUAGCAUUAUUAAUUGUUUUAAUUAUUUUUAUUAUGUAUUUCGUGUUUUUAUAUUGUAACUUUGUAUUGUUCACUGCCCUGAGAUCUACAGGUAUAGGGCAGAAUACAAAGUUAAUAGUAGAAGUAGUAGCAACAGCAACAACAAUAACAACAACUUUUCCUUUGUUUCCUGCAUAAUGACUAUUGGUACCGCUCUCUCUCCCCAACUGUGUGUGUCUGUUUUGCUGCUAUUUUUAGCUUGAUAAUUCAUGUUUUGACAGAUAGAUCAUUGUUGCUUUUACAUUUUAGUUUGUAUUUCUAAGCCACUUUGAGCAACUCCAUGUAGAACAGGGCAAGCAGGAUACAAAUGUUUCAAAUAAAAUAAUAAAAUAAACCCCUGUGUUUGCUGUGCAUUUUGUAUGUUGCUAAAUAUCGAAUCUUAAAACCUUUUACAAUUCAGUAGCAAAUGCUUACCAUUUAUUCCACAGAGAUACUUCCCCUAGUUCCUUUCUCCCCCACCUUGAAACCUAGGCAUGUUAGGAGCUUGUUGGGGCCUGUGCCCAUCAGUUUCUGGGAGCCCUUCCGCAGUCGUGUGAAAAGUGAUUUCCUCAAAAGUCAAGGUUUGAGGGCAGAAAUCUGGCUGAGUCUGGAAUAACCUUGUGAAGUGAAAGGAUAUGAAAGGAUGAUUUAUAUCUAGAUGUUAGGCUAGAGAGGAUAAAGAAAACAGGAAAACAGGAAGACACAAUGAGAGAUAAAGGAGGUGCUGUGGGAUUGGUGGAAGGCAUUGUCUUGUUGUUGUUUUAGUGUUUAUAAUAUUAACUUGUAAGAUAUGGAUUUGUUUGUUUGUUUUGUUUAUGUUUUUUUUAGUUUUCGAAUGUUGAUUUCUGUGUGUUAUGUAUUGUUUUUUUUUGAUAUCUUUCGUGUUGUUGUUGUUGUGUGGAAAAUACUAAUAAAAUUCUAAUAAUAAUAAUAAUAAUAAUAAUAAUAAUGUGAUUUCCUUCCUUCCACACAAGCCUUUUCCUUUUAAGCUUUCAAUAAGGGAAGGCGAGAAUAAGUACUUGCAAUGGAAAAUUACACGGAGCCUGUUGAUCUUGAAGCACCUUCGGCAGACGGGGAUUAAAAUUCAUUUUAAAAAUAAGGGUUUCAAGCAAAGGACUGAACCGAGACGUCAUUGCCUGGAACUGCUGUAGCUACAUUUAGAAGAUCAAAUAAUUUUGAUGCCGUCUUGGAGGUUGAAAAAAAGAAGAAGAAACUUCUUAAGAGAUUACCUGAUGGUUGCAAUAUUUUUACAACUGGUAAUCUUUGGGGGAUUUUAUGUAUGAAUGAAGUUUCAUUCAUUGCAUACAGUAUUUAGAUUUUGAAUUUCUUUUUGGGGGGGCAUUUAAUACAAUAUUUUAUUGGUUUUUUCCAUAUUACAUCACAAUAUAAAUAAACCAAAGCCAUCACCACAUCUCCCCAUCCCCCCAUAUAUCCAUCAAUCAAACCUAAUAUUCUUUUGUUCUUAUUUGUGGGGCACAGGAAUUCGUUCUCCCCCCACCCAAUAACCUAGGUUUAAGGAGCCAUUUCGCUCCUGGCUUUCAUAUCUCAGUUUCUAACAGUGGAACAAACAAAGGACAUACUCAUGUGAUGAGGCACAGGCAAACUCGGCCCUCCAGAUGUUUUGGGACUACAAUUCCCAUCAUCCCUGACCACUGGUCCUGCUAACUAGGGAUUGUGGGAGUUGUAGUCCCAAAACAUCUGAAGGGCCGAGUUUGCCUAUGCCUGCAUGUGAUGCUGCCACAACCCUCUACACUAACACUUGGCAACCAAACGAGAGAACCACACUUCCCAUCUCUCUCUCCCCUUCUCUUUCCCCCCAGUUGCAAGAUGUCUAUGACAAAAGUGUCUCUCACUAAAUGUAAAUGAACUGUGAAGAAGACUCUAUGAAUUGAAAGAAGUGGAGAUGACAGAUGUACCUUUCCCUGUCUAUGUGUUUUGUAACAGCAAAUAUCCUUAAUAAAAGCUGUUUUUUUCAAAGCAGCCCCAUGUAGAGUGCAUUACUCAAUCUCAACCAGAAGUUACCGAGUAGGUGUGAUGGUUGAAAAGUCCCUUGUUUCCAGGAGAAGGAGAGCUCCACUGGUGAAUUGGCCAAAGUGGAAGAGGACAUCACGACGACUUCAGAAUGUCUGGUUGAUUGAUAACCACUUCAGGUACUCCUUCUUGAAGUGUGCUUGCAGCACUCAAACGCACUUAGCUUGCUCGAGACUUGCAAGCUAUACGGCACCUUGACACAGCCCUCCAUCAUUCCCUGCCUCUCCACUCAGUACAACGAUAUAACCCCCAGCUCGGCAAUGCUUUACACUGACACUGUGCCCACAGGAGCGAAUUAAAGCAUUUGAAGAGAAGUAUAACCUACUCUCAGGGAUAAGGGUGGUGCUGUGGGUUAAACCACAGAGCCUAGGACUUGCUGAUCAGAAGGUUGGCGGUUUGAAUCCCCGCGACGGGUUGAGCUCCCGUUGCUCAGUCCCUGCUCCUGCCAACUUAGCAGUUCGAAAGCACGUCAAAGUGCAAGUAGAUAAAUAGGUACCGCUCCGGUGGGAAGGUAAACGGCGUUUCCGUGCGCUGCUCUGGUUCGCCAGAAGCGGCUUAGUCAUGCUGGCCACAUGACCCGGAAGCUGUACGCCGGCUCCCUCGGCCAAUAAAGCGAGAUGAGCGCCGCAACCCCAGAGUCGGUCACGACUGGAC
rnacentral:lncRNA from 1 species